GCAAGGAAGUCAACUUGAAAAUCUGACAUGGAAUGGUCUGAGCAAUCAAGUAGCAUGGAGGCCUAGGGCUUGAAAACAAGAGAUUUGGGGUUUGAAAUCAAAAGAGAAAAUGGUCUAGGUUCUCUACUUCGAAUGGUGUUUGAAUUACUUAAAAUUUGAGGGCCAAAAAUGAAUGUUUUGGUUCAGGGGAUUUACAGGACCGGUUCAUUGGAGCCUUUUUUUUUGGAAGCAAGCUAUUUUUUAAUUUUUUGAAGCCUUUCCGAAAGGGAAAUUGAUGAAAUUGAGUUGUGAAAAGUGUUUACAGUAUUAGGCUUGAACUAUGAAUUUUUAAUUUAAGUUUAAAGUCAUUACACACAGCAGCCAAACCAACCCCUAAUUUUUAUAAGAAGAUAGUUGGAUUACUUUGUAUUAAUAAACUCUUGGAAUAAAUUACAAAAAAGGGUUAAUGACCCAAAAAAUCUAAAACUAUAUGUAUUUCCUGUUUUUGUAAAGAUUAGGGGCGGUCAUUUCUGAAGAUUAUUGAAGUGGGUUUGUCUUUGGUAAUGCCUCUGAUGCUGGUUGAAAUAUGUCCUUUAUGGAAUGAGAAGCUUUCCAAAUUUAGGGUGGAAUGUUGUGUUUUGAUAUGGCUUAUUGAGCCUUUGUUACUGAAUCUGUUUUACACACCUUUUUUAAGAUCCUUGUUUAAAAUUAAAACAAUACAUGGAUCUUUAGUUAAUAUUUGUGGAAACUGCAAGUGCUGAUUGAUAGACAUUGCUUAAGAGUGAAAAAGAAAUUGAAAGUGAAAAUGAGAGAUUGGCGCAAGAAGUUGGAUGAAGAUUGAGAUAAAAAAUAAAGAACGUGCAAAAAGUAUAGAGGAAAGUGACAAAAGGGGUUUUGCUGUUUGUGGUGAUUUUGAUAGAGAAGGUGAGACGCAAAGAUGAGGGGGAGUAAGAUCUUGAAGAAAGAAAUACAGAAGAGAACAAAAUGGAAAAAGAAAAGAUGAGGGGGAGUGAGAUCUUGAAGAAAGAGGAAACGAAAUGGAAAAAGGGUGGUUUUGUCAUUAAAACCCCUUUUACUCAUUUACAACUGACAUAUACCAUUUUGAUAGGGAUAAUGGGAUAUAAGAGAAAACUAUGUUUAAAUCUCAAAUGUCUAUAUUACAUGUUUUUGAAAUUAGGAUCCUAAUUAGCAAGUUUCUAAUCGUUCAUUUCCAGUUUGUGAUUGAUUAUGCAUUCAUUUCUGUGUUUUUGUGUGACUAGUGAGUGGACUGUUAUAUGAUCAGAAAGUUCCUAUAUAAUGUUGUGAUUAGGCCAGCGAGAUGCAUAAUUGAGAUGGAUGUGAAAAUCCAAGAAUGGCUGAAUAAAAAGGAUAAUUUUUUGGAGAGGUAGGAGUUGCAUUAAUUGAUGAUAAAUUUAGGAAGUGUCAUUUGCAAUGAUUUGGCUGUGGCCAAAAUAAAUCUAUGAAUGCACUUGGCAAAAUAGUGUGAAUUUGAGCAGUAGGAGGUCAAAAGAGAAAAAGUGAGCCAAAAAUAGUGUGUGCUGAAGCCUGAAGUGGUAAAAACUGAUAUAAUAUCAAAUGAAGACAAUGGAGACAAGUAAACCAUAUGGGGCUUCUCUAACUAUUUUGGGCCAAUGAAUUAGUUAAAUGGUUUGAGUGUGAAUGUGUAUAGAUUUUGUAUUUUUGUUGUCAAUGAUUGGGGAACCAUUGAAGAAUUUACAAAAGCAGGCAAAUUGUAGACCAUAAUUUAAGGUUUUAAAUAAUGGUAUCAAGUUCAGUAUUAAGCUGUAUUGGACCAUAUCAUCUAGCACUGCUGUGCAUUUCUUUUAAAGAACGUUAACAGAAUAACUCAACUCAAUGCUAGAAAAAGAAUUUAACCAUAUAUAUUCUAUAUAUCUUGUAGAUUUAACAAUUUAUAGUUUUCUAAAAUAAUUUAAACAAAUAAUAGUCAAACAACCGAAAAAUACCAACAUAAUAUGUUCUUUUUAACGAAGCUUUUGGAGCACCCAUUGUGAUUGAGAAGUCGAGUGUUUUGAUGCUAAAACUAGAAUCUGGUGGGCUGAAGUGAAAAACAGGAGAAAACAAGUGUUUAACUGCUGGAUGGUAGGUGAGAAUAUGGUUGUUGGUAGUAAAAAGUUGUAGUUUUCUCUAUGUCUGUAUUUCAGUAUCAACUAUAACAACCACCAUGCAAUGGAGGUACAUUGGUCCAUAAAAACUAUAUCAUCUCAUAUUGGGCGAUAUGAGUGAAUAAAAAUUCACUGUCCUGUAUUGCUGAAACUUGUAUUGAUGGCUUAAAAUUUGGUGAAGUCAAUAAUUACUUACCCUCAUUUCUUAAACCAUGAUUGUGGUGCUAGAAGUUAUCUAGACAGAAACAUAAAUAGGUGCAUGAGCAGGAUAUUGUGAGUGGCCUUUAUGUGCCCCAACUACUAACCCAUGUGGCUCAACUCUCUCUCUCUAUCUAUUUCGCACAUGCAUAUGCAUGAACACUCACACACACUUAUUUGCACCUGAAACAGUUAGCUUCUGCUUCUUUCUUAAAAAGUGAUAUCUCUGUUUUUAUUUUAUUUUUAUCAUAAAUUACACUAUCAAACUAAUGGUAUGCUUACAAUUACUGGAGAAAGUUCCAUCAGUACUUAUAUAGAAUUUGUAUUCUUUUAUAAUAAUGAAUAUCUUUGGCUUCAUUAAUCUAUUUUUUGACUAUAUACAUUAAACAUUUAACAUUAAGGAACAACUUUUCUCGAGAUAUCUUAUGCUGAACUGGGAUCUUGUUCAUACUGAUAAUAGCAGUAUUCCAGAUAUUAUGGCCAUUCAUUGAGCUUGGAUAUUUUAGGAAAACUAAGAAUCUAAGAUUUAAGUUGGUGAUGUCACGGAAGUAUAUUACUUUUGUUGAACAUUGUCAGAUUGUCCUUAGUCAAACAGGAUAUGUCUUGUAGGAACAUAACAUAGGUACUAAAAGAAAAUAGAACUGAUGAUCCAACAGAGUGUACAUUACAGAAAGUGAAAAUAGAUUUUUUUUUUUUUUGAAAUGUCCUA
rnacentral:misc_RNA from 1 species